rnacentral:lncRNA from 10 species
CCCAACAACACCCAGCUUCAACAAUUAUCAAUCAAGGCCACUUUUAUAUCAUGCAAACUGCUCUAGAUGGAUCUAGUCCAUUUUAAUCUAGUUAUUUUGGUCACAAGGGUAGGUAUUUUCUUAUAGGAGAGGGAAUUCGGGAUUUAGAGUCUGAAAAUGUGUUUCACCUUUGAUUAAAUGUAUGACCUUGGGCAGGUCACUUAAUUCUUUUGAUCCUCAGUAAAAUGAAGAUCUUUCAUCUGUAAAAUAAAAUUGAUAACACUGGCUACACAUACAAAAAGUGUACAGGCAGUGAGAUGUCUGUGAAAGAGGCUCAAAAAGGAAGCACUAUGUAAACACCUGCCACUGUGUACAGCACCAGGUGUGGCUCAACAAACAUUUAUUGAGGUUAUUGUUAAGUAUUAGGUCAUGCCAAAAAAAAAAGAGAAAACCCAACUCUUCAAUUUUAGGUUGCACCAUUGAGCUUCUCUUGUCACAUUGCAAAUGUGGUCACUAAGGCAACUGGGCCAGACAGAAUGGAUGACUCAUCCUGCUCCAACCUAGUAUGCACAUCCUGUUGGUCCAGGAGAGUCACUUCUCAUACCACAUGUCCUUGUUCAAUGUCAAGGCCUGGAAAAUGUCAAAUCAUGUCAAAAGUCUCCAGUCCUAUAUCUCCGUGAAGGUUCAGAGUGAGAACUGCAGAGCCAGUGGGCAAGACCUGAAAAUUAUAUUUUGAAAAAGCAGCUGUUGUGAACACAAGCCAAAUCACCCUUUCAAAAAGAAUUUGGAGGCUUGCUGUGGUAUAGAAACUGGAACCUUCAACUGCAAGAUCAGUCACGUUCAAACAAUAUCUUUCCAAACAUGGAGAAGACCACCCCAAGCGGAAGAUCCCUAAAGCAAAACUACCCAUCACCACCAAGCCAUGGACUAUUAGAGGUUUUCGCAAAAUCUGAGUCAGUGUCUGACUUGGACUCUAUUUGCAGUGAUUCUCAUCUUAAAGGGUUACACAGAGAGGGGUAUUCUCUUGCUGAACCUGAUGAUCUUGGCUAUUUGGGCAGUCUGCUUGAUUUUUCUUUUCCAAAAGGAAAAAGAGGAGGGAGUGACCUAAGACGCUAAACAAUGCUUGAUGAUCUGAUACCUAGGGGUAGUGUUGAGGAGUAGGGAGAAAGAGAGGCCAUCAUCCUAAAUGUACUGCAUAUUCAACAUAUGUAAAUGUAUAUAAAUUCUUGAGGACCAGAGGCAGAAAAAGAAAAUUAUAUGUUGCUUUUCAGAUAUAUGAUCUGGAAUACAUUACUUAUUUUCUCCAAGCCUUGGGCUCUUCAUAUGUAAAGUGAGAAUAAUGAUCAUACUAACCUCCCAGAGAUGUAGUGAGAAAUAAGCGCUAAUAGCAAAGUGCUAGAUAAAUGUCAAUAACAAUAACGACAACAAAGCUAGUAACAGCUGCCACCAAGGAGGAAGGUGGGGAUACAGUUUCAUGAAAGAAAUAGAUAGUCAGGCAUCGUAGCUCAUGUCUGUAAUCCCAGUGACUCAGGAGGCUGUGGCUGGAGGAUUGCUUGAGCCGAGGAGUUCCAGACCAGCCUGGGCAACUUAGUGAGGCUCUGUCUCUAAAAAAAAUGAAAUAAAUUCGUCAAGCGUGGUGACACACACCUGUAGUCCCAGCUACUUGGGAGGCUAACUUGUGAGGAUCCCUUGAGAUCUCUUGAGCCCAGGAGUUUGAGGCUGCAGUGAGCUAUGAUGGCAUCACUAUACCCCAGCACGGGCAACAGAGCUAGACCCUGUUUCUAAAAAAGAAAAGAAAAGAAAAGAGAGAGAGAGGAAAGAAAGAAAGAG